CGGCCGCGUCGACCUUGUACAAGGCAAAUGGACGUAAUCAGGCUCCCUAGAAAUCCGCUAAACAUAUUCAUGAAGUACCCGUACCACAAACGGACACACGUAGUUGGGUUGAAAUACUGAGGCGCUCGAGUGAGUCACGGUUAAGGAACUAGGCAAAAUGGUCCUGUAACUUCGGGAUAAAGGACGCCUGCUUCGGCAGGCCGCAGAGAAUAGGCCCAGGCGACUGUUUAACAAAACACAUGGCUGUGCGAAAUAGUUAACAUGAAGUAUACAGCCUGACAC
rnacentral:rRNA from 1 species